rnacentral:rRNA from 1 species
UACGUAGGUGGCAAGCGUUGUCCGGAUUUACUGGGCGUAAAGAGCGCGCAGGCGGUCGUUCAAGUCGCGUGUGAAAGCCCCCGGCUCAACUGGGGAGGGUCACGCGAUACUGAUCGACUCGAAGGCAGGAGAGGGUAGUGGAAUUCCCGGUGUAGUUGGUGAAAUGCGUAGAUAUCGGGAGGAACACCAGUGGCGAAGGCGACUACCUGGCCUGUUCUUGACGCUGAGGCGCGAAAGCUAGGGGAGCAAACGGGG